UACGUAGGGGGCAAGCGUUGUCCGGAUUUACUGGGCGUAAAGAGCGCGUAGGCGGAAGUUUAAGCGGUGCUUGAAAGCCCCCGGCUCAACCGGGGAGGGUGGUGCCGAAACGACCCGUCUGGAGGGACGUAGGGGGAUCUGGAACUUCCGGUGGAGCGGUGAAAUGCGUUGAGAUCGGAAGGAACGCCCGUGGCGAAAGCGAGAUCCUGGACGUUUUCUGACGCUGAGACGCGAAAGCUAGGGGAGCAAACGGG
rnacentral:rRNA from 1 species